rnacentral:rRNA from 1 species
AUUGAACGCUGGCGGCAGGCCUAACACAUGCAAGUCGAGCGAGCGGCGGACGGGUGAGUAAUGGAUGGGGACUGCCCGAUAGAGGGGGAUAACUACUGGAAACGGUAGCUAAUACCGCAUACUAUCGGAUAACCCAUAUUGGAUUAGAUAGUUGGUGAGGUAAUGGCUCACCAAGGCUACGAUCCCUAGCUUGUCUGAGAGGAUGAUCAGCCCCACGGGGACUGAGCCACGGCCAAGGCUCCUACGGAGGCAGCAGUGGGGAAUGUUGCCCAAUGGGCGCAAGCCUGAUACAGCCAUGCCGCGUGUAUGACGAAGGCCCUAGGGUUGUAAAGUACUUUCAGUCGGGAGGCGUUACCGACAGAAGAAGCACCGGCUAACUCCGUGCCAGCAGCCGCGGUAAUAC